GGCCCCGAGCCGGCAAAGGAUCAGAGGAUUCCUAAACCGUGUGUCGCAGGUUCGAAUCCUGCCGGGG
rnacentral:tRNA from 1 species